rnacentral:rRNA from 1 species
ACAUGCAAGUCGAGCGGUAGAGAGGUGCUUGCAUCUCUUGAGAGCGGCGGACGGGUGAGUAAUGCCUAGGAAUCUGCCUAGUGGUGGGGGAUAACGUUCGGAAACGGACGCUAAUACCGCAUACGUCCUACGGGAGAAAGCGGGGGAUCUUCGGACCUCGCGCCAUUAGAUGAGCCUAGGUCGGAUUAGCUAGUUGGUGAGGUAAUGGCUCACCAAGGCGACGAUCCGUAACUGGUCUGAGAGGAUGAUCAGUCACACUGGAACUGAGACACGGUCCAGACUCCUACGGGAGGCAGCAGUGGGGAAUAUUGGACAAUGGGCGAAAGCCUGAUCCAGCCAUGCCGCGUGUGUGAAGAAGGUCUUCGGAUUGUAAAGCACUUUAAGUUGGGAGGAAGGGUAGUAACCUAAUACGUUGCUACUUUGACGUUACCGACAGAAUAAGCACCGGCUAACUUCGUG